rnacentral:rRNA from 2 species
CUGCGAAUGGCUCAUUAAAUCAGUUAUCGUUUAUUUGAUAGUACCUUACCACUUGGAUAACCGUGGUAAUUCUAGAGCUAAUACAUGCUAAAAACCCCGACUUCGGAAGGGGUGUGUUUAUUAGAUAAAAAACCAAUGCCCUUCGGGGCUCUUUGGUGAUUCAUGAUAACCUAACGGAUCGCAUGGCCUUGCGCCGGCGACGGUUCAUUCAAAUUUCUGCCCUAUCAACUUUCGAUGGUAAGGUAUUGGCUUACCAUGGUUUCAACGGGUAACGGGGAAUUAGGGUUCGAUUCCGGAGAGGGAGCCUGAGAAACGGCUACCACAUCCAAGGAAGGCAGCAGGCGCGCAAAUUACCCAAUCCCGACACGGGGAGGUAGUGACAAUAAAUACUGAUACAGGGCUCUUUUGGGUCUUGUAAUUGGAAUGAGUACAAUUUAAACCCCUUAACGAGGAACAAUUGGAGGGCAAGUCUGGUGCCAGCAGCCGCGGUAAUUCCAGCUCCAAUAGCGUAUAUUAAAGUUGUUGCAGUUAAAAAGCUCGUAGUUGAAACUUGGGUCUGGCUAGCGGGUCCGCCUCACCGCGUGCACUUGUCCGGCUGGACCUUUCCUUCUGGAGAACCUCAUGCCCUUCACUGGGUGUGUUGGGGAACCAGGACUUUUACUUUGAAAAAAUUAGAGUGUUCAAAGCAGGCCUUUGCUCGAAUACGUUAGCAUGGAAUAAUAGAAUAGGACGUGCGGUCCUAUUUUGUUGGUUUCUAGGAUCGCCGUAAUGAUUAAUAGGGAUAGUCGGGGGCAUCAGUAUUCAAUUGUCAGAGGUGAAAUUCUUGGAUUUAUUGAAGACUAACUACUGCGAAAGCAUUUGCCAAGGAUGUUUUCAUUAAUCAGUGAACGAAAGUUAGGGGAUCGAAGACGAUCAGAUACCGUCGUAGUCUUAACCGUAAACUAUGCCGACUAGGGAUCGGGCGAUGUUUCUAUCUUGACUCGCUCGGCACCU